rnacentral:lncRNA from 1 species
CUCAAGUUAUAUGAAUACAUUUACUCUUGUUCAAAACAGCAGCACCUCAAUUUUCACUACUGAAAAUUCAUCAUUGAUUCUUAAUUUGGGUAUCCACUGACUGUAUCAUUGACAAGGUUCCUUUUUGUUUUCCUUUAUUUAGUAAGUCAUCAAUUCUGACAUCUUUUGCUGUAUUUUGUUUUAAAUCAAUCUUUCCUUUUUAAUUCCAAAGUCUUUUUUUGUCUUUUGUUAGUUUCCCCAGCAGCAGGGUUUAGAGCUGCCUUAGGACCAGGGGUCUCUCCCUCCCCAGGAAGCUACAGAACAUGCGUAAAAGCAGCAGCCAGAGGAAAGCAUGAGGAUUUGGUGGCCAAAUAGAUCCAUCUUUGAAUUCUACUUUUACUUGGGUCAGUGUUCUAUUGUUCUGUGUCCUCUACAUUUGCACAUGCACAGAGAGUAUAGUGUUUAGAGAAGCAUGGUAGGGACAAUUUAAAGGCCUUUCUACCAGGCGUGAAAAGAUGCUUGCUCCAGCUACUCUUGGCUCCUUCGCAUUUAUAUUGACGUCCUCACCAUCCCCACAAGUGGGCAUUUGUACCCUGGGCAGAGCUGGAACAAGGCCAUUGCUACUGCAAAUUCCUCCCUGAACAGACUUUGGUCAGACUGUACUGGAGAAUUUAUAAUGGGAAGGUUGUUCGUCUUUCAUUCAUCGUUGAGAUCCAGAAAGACCCACCUGGCUACAUUCAGGUUUGGCCACAUCUCUGAGGACAGAGUCUGUCUAUUCCGACACAUAAAAUGAAGUCAGAAAGACUACUGACAUGACUUACAAAGGAGAUGCCCUGAAACUGGUGCUGGAAACUUGGUCCCUCAUCCAUCAAAAGCAAUAAAGGGAUUCAAGAUGGAGAGGCUGGGCAGUGGGAGAUAGAUUCUUCAGAGC